GUACAAUAAGCUAAAUAAGGGCGUAUGGCGGAUGCCUAGGCUUUCAGAGGCGAUGAAGGACGUGAUAAGCUGCGAAAAGUUACGGGGAGAUGCACAUAAUUUAUGAUC
rnacentral:rRNA from 1 species